rnacentral:lncRNA from 1 species
AUCCGGUAAGAUUAUGUAUGAUUACUUACUGAGCCGUGUAGCUCAUAUCCGUUCGUUUACUUUUUCUUUCAGAUCCUUACCACUGAUAGCUGCCAGAGACACGUUAGUUUGGUAUCAGGGCUUCUUUCUUUUGGGGUAAAGCAAGUAUACUUUUGUGUAUAUAAACUACAUAGAAGCUCUGUAUUUGGGUACUGACCAGCAGGUUGUACUAAGAAUGCUUUCAUAUGAAAAGAUUUGGUUGGUUUGACUACCCUAUUACCCAGGUAUGAGGCUGCGUGCUAUUGUGGGCGGUAGUCGGCAAUAGCACGGCCGUGUCACGGAUCCGGGUCCGGGGCGUGACA